AUAUGAAGUCGAACCUGCCCAGUGAAAAUUUUUAACGGCCGCGGUAUUCUGACCGUGCAAAGGUAGCAUAAUCAUUUGCCUCUUAAUUAGAGGCUAGUAUGAAUGGUUUGACGAGAAUGUAGCUGUCUCUUUAUAACUAUAUAGAAUCUUAUAUUUAGGUGAAAAAGCCUAGAUUUAAUUGAUAGACAAGAAGACCCUGUCGAGCUUGAAAAUAAUUUAUAAAAUAGAACUUAUUAAGUAAAAGAGUUAAUUAUUAAAUAUUUUGGUUGGGGCAACCGAGGAGUAUAAAAAGCCUCCUUUAUUAAUUAAAAUCUACUAAUAUUGACCCAAAAAUUUUGGAUAAAGGAAUUAGUUACCGCAGGGAUAACAGCAUAAUCUUUUUUGAGAGUUCCUAUCGAAAAAAAGGUUUGUGACCUCGAUGUUGGACCAAAGUAUCCUAAAGAUGUAGAAGUCUUUAAAGGUUGGUCUGUUCGACCAUUAAAACUUUA
rnacentral:rRNA from 1 species